rnacentral:rRNA from 1 species
CUUGAUUAAACCAUAAGAGGUCCAGCCUGCCCAGUGACAUUGUUCAACGGCCGCGGUAUCCUAACCGUGCGAAGGUAGCGUAAUCACUUGUCCUUUAAAUGAAGACUAGUAUGAAUGGCCCCACGAAAGCUAUACUGUCUCCUUUUUCUAAUCAGUUAAACUAAUCUCCCCGUGAAGAAGCGGGGAUAAACAUAUAAGACGAGAAGACCCUAUGGAGCUUCAAACAACUGAAACACUUGUAUAUCCUCCCUCACCUGCCAACAUUUAACCUCACAUUUUGUUUCUAGUUUUAGGUUGGGGUGACCACGGAGAAAAAACUAACCUCCACGACGAAAGAGACAUCUCUAAACAAAAAGCUACAUCUUUAUGUAUUAACACAUUAACCUUUAUUGACCCA